rnacentral:sRNA from 1 species
UUAAAAAUAUUUCACUAGUUAUUUUGUACAUAGAUAAGAUAGUUGAUUCCCAGCUUUUAUCUGUAAAGUUGUCAUAAUUGGAAUUAACUUCGGUGAUUCUGUUGUAUAAAACAUUGUUAUAUUUUUAGGUGUGUGCGGAUUUUAGGCAAACAAGAAAAUAUUAGAGUGAUGCAAUUGGCUUUGUUCCAGGGGAUAGCCAAAAAGCAUCGUGCUGCAACUACUAUAGAGAUGAAAGCUUCUGAAAAUCCUGUUCUUCAGAAUAUUCAAGCUGACCCAACAGUAGUCUGUACAUCGUUCAAAAAGAAUAGAUUUUAUAUGUUUACCAAACGAGAACCAGAAGAUACGAAAAGUGCAGAUUCUGAUCGAGAUGUUUUUAAUGAGAAACCUUCUAAAGAAGAAGUCAUGGCAGCUACUCAAGCUGAAGGACCUAAACGAGUUUCGGACAGUGCCAUUAUCCACACCAGCAUGGGAGACAUUCACACCAAACUUUUUCCUGUUGAGUGCCCUAAGACAGUGGAAAACUUCUGUGUUCAC